rnacentral:piRNA from 1 species
GCCAUGUGAGUGUGAGAGAAGCAGUCAGGC